AAUAUGAUGCCUGAUAAAAGGAUAGUCUUGAUAGGACUACAUAUGUAAUUUAAUUACUCAUAUUA
rnacentral:tRNA from 1 species